ACAGACAGUUGUGAGCUGCCACGUAGGGUGCUGGGAAUCGAACCUGGGUCUUCAAGAAGCUCAACCAGUGCUCUUGACCACGGAGCCAUGUCACCAGCCCCCCUGCCCUGUUCUUUUAAUUCAGUGCUUUUCAUAAUGAACUGCAUCCUGUGAGCACUUCCUGAAGACGCUCCUUCCACGAACCAUCCUCCACGAUUCCCCCCCUCACCCGGCUCCAGAAAGGCCUGAGGGUGCUCUAAACAAGUCGUCACAUCAGGAGAAAGCUGCUUCCUUUCCAAGGUGUGUCGGAUGCAGAUGCACGCUGCUCCCGGGAUGCUCAAGCUCCACCUGGCCCCGGGUCCCUUUGGUCCCUCUCCACUUGUGAACUACCAUCAUCUAUAAGCUGCUAGGCAGAAUGCAUCCACAACUUCUGCCCUCUUGGCCCAGCCGCCCUGAAGGAAUGAUGCUCAGACUGGCCUGGCUAAUGCUCUCGGGAGGGGUGUACCAAGAAACAGCCACUCGAAAGCCAUGGCAGCAUGAAUUUAGGGGUAUUGUUAUUUAUGGUCUCACAGACAACCCAUUUAUGAGGACUAUUAAACACAAAGUCUUUGGCAUAGUAUUAGAAAGA